AUCCAGUUGACGAGUCCAAAAUAGGACAAAAUGUGCAUCCUGGAU
rnacentral:hammerhead_ribozyme from 1 species